CGUAGGGACCAAGCGUUGUUCGGAUUUACUGGGCGUAAAGGGCGCGUAGCGGCAAAUUAAGUCAUCUGUGAAAUCUCCGAGCUUAACUCGGAACGGUCAGGUGAUACUGAUCUGCUAGAGUGCGGAAGGGGCAAUCGGAAUUCUUGGUGUAGCGGUGAAAUGCGUAGAUAUCAAGAGGAACACCUGAGGUGAAGACGGGUUGCUGGGCCGACACUGACGCUGACAGCGCGAAAGCCAGGGGAGCAAACGGGAUUAGAUACCCCGGUAGUCCUGGCCUUAAACGAUGAAUACUUGGUGUCUGGAGUCUCUAUAGCUCCGGGUGCCGUCGCUAACGUUUUUAGUAUUCCGCCUGGGGAGUACGCACGCAAGUGUG
rnacentral:rRNA from 1 species